rnacentral:lncRNA from 1 species
GGACUGGCGUGGUGUGGAUUGCUUGUGGAUUAUCAAGGCCAGUCGCUUGAAAAUGCAUAUAAAUAGUGUGCCAAAUAAAAACGAAAACUUGUGGUAUUGAAAUGCAAAAAUGGACUCUGGCGUGCAUAUGAUACGCAUGUGUUUGGCGUGCAUAUAAUACGCAGUUUUUUCAUGCAUAUAAUCAGAAAUUUGUUGGCGUGUAUAUGAUGUGCAGGUUUCACGUUCAUAUGAUACGCACAAACCUAAACCUACCCAUCGUGUUGUAUAUGCACGCCAGAGUCCAUUUCUGCGUAUCAAUACCACAAGUUUUUGUUUUUAUUUGGCAUACUAUUUAUACGCAUUUUCAUGAGAGUGGCCUCCUCAUUUUGAUGGCACCCAUUCACUGCAGAGCAUCCACUGGCUGAACUCAAGCUGAUCUCCGUGUGACUCUGUAAUUACCUUUGAAGCGGCCCAGUCACGGGGGAGCGUUGGCGGCGACAAACCAACACCACAUGCAUCUUCCAGGAAGCUUAUGCUACAUCUUUACCCACUUACAGUGUUUAGAAAAAGGACA